UCAGAUUGAACGCUGGCGGCAGGCCUAACACAUGCAAGUCGAGCGGAUGAAGGGAGCUUGCUCCUGGAUUCAGCGGCGGACGGGUGAGUAAUGCCUAGGAAUCUGCCUGGUAGUGGGGGAUAACGUCCGGAAACGGGCGCUAAUACCGCAUACGUCCUGAGGGAGAAAGUGGGGGAUCUUCGGACCUCACGCUAUCAGAUGAGCCUAGGUCGGAUUAGCUAGUUGGUGGGGUAAAGGCCUACCAAGGCGACGAUCCGUAACUGGUCUGAGAGGAUGAUCAGUCACACUGGAACUGAGACACGGUCCAGACUCCUACGGGAGGCAGCAGUGGGGAAUAUUGGACAAUGGGCGAAAGCCUGAUCCAGCCAUGCCGCGUGUGUGAAGAAGGUCUUCGGAUUGUAAAGCACUUUAAGUUGGGAGGAAGGGCAGUAAGUUAAUACCUUGCUGUUUUGACGUUACCAACAGAAUAAGCACCGGCUAACUUCGUGCCAGCAGCCGCGGUAAUACGAAGGGUGCAAGCGUUAAUCGGAAUUACUGGGCGUAAAGCGCGCGUAGGUGGUUCAGCAAGUUGGAUGUGAAAUCCCCGGGCUCAACCUGGGAACUGCAUCCAAAACUACUGAGCUAGAGUACGGUAGAGGGUGGUGGAAUUUCCUGUGUAGCGGUGAAAUGCGUAGAUAUAGGAAGGAACACCAGUGGCGAAGGCGACCACCUGGACUGAUACUGACACUGAGGUGCGAAAGCGUGGGGAGCAAAACAGGAUUAGAUACCCUGGUAGUCCACGCCGUAAACGAUGUCGACUAGCCGUUGGGAUCCUUGAGAUCUUAGUGGCGCAGCUAACGCGAUAAGUCGACCGCCU
rnacentral:rRNA from 1 species